UUUGUGCGAAAGUAGCCAUCAAAACAGAGUGCAAAACAAAAUCAAAAUUCGCCCCCCACUGCAAAAUUAGUUUAAAAUGUCCGCAGCGCAGGAGCUAAUUUCUAUUUUCGGAUUGCUAAGAAAGACUACAUUGAACAUAUUGAACGAAAGCCUAUUGGAAAUGACUCAUUCGUACCGCAGUUUGCCGUCUCCCGCCAUGAUCACCACCUAACGGUUUGCUCCCUGCCGCAAAACUCGAGUGUAUGCUGAAUCGGAAGCUCCAUGCUACGAUAAACAGAAGUGUUUGCAGUGACCCGCAGUGAUUCCCCUACGGAGAAUGUCGAUCUUAUUGAAGCUUUCCUUUUUCCUGUUGGAUCAGCUAGUCGAAAAAAUGAGUCAGUAUGGUUCCUGAAAGACCAGCUUGUACUGUGGAACGGGAAGUUGACCAUCCUUGACCUGAACCUGGAUGUUCAUCAGCGUUGAACAUGGAAUUGGUGUCGAAAAGUACAAACGGCCAGGCGACUGCAGUGAUUCUGAGGAAAUCGCGGAUCGAGACCAUCAGCGUCGGAGGACAGCCAGGAGAGGAAUCUCCCGUUUUUCAAAAUUGAAAAUGAUUGG